GACGUAGGAGGCGAGCGUUAUCCGGAUUUACUGGGCGUAAAGGGCGUGCAGGCGGUUUGUUAAGUGCAGGGUGAAAGCUCCCGGCUCAACUGGGAGAGGUCCUUGCAUACUGGCGAACUCGAGGGAGGCAGAGGAAAGUGGAAUUCCCGGUGUAGUGGUGAUAUGCGUAGAUAUCGGGAGGAACACCUGUGGCGAAGGCGGCUUUCUGGGCCUUACCUGACGCUGAGACGCGAAAGCGUGGGGAGCGAACCGG
rnacentral:rRNA from 1 species